rnacentral:rRNA from 1 species
UACGUAGGUGGCAAGCGUUGUCCGGAAUUAUUGGGCGUAAAGCGCGCGCAGGUGGUUUCUUAAGUCUGAUGUGAAAGCCCACGGCUCAACCGUGGAGGGUCAUUGGAAACUGGGGAACUUGAGUGCAGAAGAGGAAAGUGGAAUUCCAAGUGUAGCGGUGAAAUGCGUAGAGAUUUGGAGGAACACCAGUGGCGAAGGCGCUGGGCUGGACGGUUAUUGACGCUGAGGUGCGAAAGCGUGGGGAGCAAACAGG